AACGAACGCUGGCGGCAGGCCUAACACAUGCAAGUCGAGCGAGGACUUCGGUCCUAGCGGCGGACGGGUGAGUAACGCGUGGGAACGUGCCCUUUGCUUCGGAAUAGCCCUGGGAAACUGGGAGUAAUACCGGAUGAGCCCUUUGGGGGAAAGAUUUAUCGGCGAAGGAUCGGCCCGCGUUGGAUUAGGUAGUUGGUGGGGUAAUGGCCUACCAAGCCGACGAUCCAUAGCUGGUUUGAGAGGAUGAUCAGCCACUCUGGGACUGAGACACGGCCCAGACUCCUACGGGAGGCAGCAGUGGGGAAUCUUAGACAAUGGGGGAAACCCUGAUCUAGCCAUGCCGCGUGAGCGAUGAAGGCCUUAGGGUUGUAAAGCUCUUUCAGCUGGGAAGAUAAUGACGGUACCAGCAGAAGAAGCCCCGGCUAACUCCGUG
rnacentral:rRNA from 1 species